CACGUAGGGGACGAGCGUUGUCCGGAUUCAUUGGGCGUAAAGCGCGCGUAGGCGGCUCGGAAAGUCGGUCGUGAAAUGCCGGGGCUCAACCCCGGGACUGCGUCCGAUACUUCCGAGCUGGAGGCAGGUAGGGUAGUGGAAUUCCCGGUGUAGCGGUGAAAUGCGCAGAUAUCAGGAAGAACACCCGUGGCGAAGGCGGCUCUCUGGGACGGUACUGACGCUGAGACGCGAAAGCGUGGGGAGCGAACAGG
rnacentral:rRNA from 1 species